UUGACAGAAGAGAGCGAGCACACAAAGGGGGGAUUGUAUAAAAUUAAGUUUGUUGUAUAUGUUGCUUUUGCGUGCUCACUCUCUCUAUGUCAC
rnacentral:pre_miRNA from 1 species